rnacentral:rRNA from 1 species
CCUACGGGAGGCAGCAGUGGGGAAUCUUAGACAAUGGGGGCAACCCUGAUCUAGCCAUGCCGCGUGAGUGAUGAAGGCCUUCGGGUUGUAAAGCUCUUUCAGCUGGGAAGAUAAUGACGGUACCAGCAGAAGAAGCCCCGGCUAACUCCGUGCCAGCAGCCGCGGUAAU